rnacentral:rRNA from 1 species
UACGAAGGGGGCUAGCGUUGCUCGGAAUCACUGGGCGUAAAGGGUGCGUAGGCGGGUCUUUAAGUCAGAGGUGAAAUCCUGGAGCUCAACUCCAGAACUGCCUUUGAUACUGAAGAUCUUGAGUUCGGGAGAGGUGAGUGGAACUGCGAGUGUAGAGGUGAAAUUCGUAGAUAUUCGCAAGAACACCAGUGGCGAAGGCGGCUCACUGGCCCGAUACUGACGCUGAGGCACGAAAGCGUGGGGAGCAAACGGG